rnacentral:rRNA from 1 species
AAUAGAUACCCGGGUAGUCCUAGCUGUAAACGAUGAGCACUGGGUUGAGGGGACUUCCACAUCCUCUCGGCCGUAGCGAAAGCGUUAAGUGCUCCGCCUGGGGAGUAUGGCCGCAAGGCUGAAACUCAAAGGAAUUGACGGGGGCUCACACAAGCGGUGGAGGAUGUGGCUUAAUUCGAGGCUACGCGAAGAACCUUAUCCUAGAUUUGACAUGGUUGAGAAUCUCCUUGAAAGAGGAGAGUGCCCUUCGGGGAGCUCUUUCACAGGUGCUGCAUGGCUGUCGUCAGCUCGUGUCGUGAGAUGUUGGGUUAAGUCCCUUAACGAGCGGAAACCCUUAUCUUUAGUUGCCAGCGGGUCAAGCCGGGGACUCUAAAGAGACUGCCGGUGUCAAACCGGAGGAAGGUGGGGAUGACGUCAAGUCCUCAUGGCCUUUAUGUCUAGGGCUGCACACGUCCUACAAUGGCACGUACAAAGGGAAGCCAAGCCGCGAGGCCGCGCUAAUCCCAAAAAGCGUGCCCCAGUUCGGAUUGCAGG